ACUCUAAUACUGUGAGUUCUGCCUGAGUGCGGACAAGAAGUGCCCUCACCCGUUAGAUGGAAAAGUGAAUUCAACGGAGAUGGAUGUGACAAUGCUAUUGUGAAAGUCCGGUCGCUUGUCUCUGUAAAGGCGGAGAGAGUGUAGGUCGCCCUUGAGGAGCCGAAGACGAAUGGGACCUCCGUGUAACCUCCACAUUCUGAAUGCCGAUAUCUUCCAUUUGCUGAGCAAGCCGAUCAACAUCAACGUCAUGGAAAGUUGGACGCCCCUGGGAGGGAUUCGCCAGCAGCUGACGAACGUUGAAACGAAGACUGAUUCCCUUGAGGACAUGGCUGAGAAUGUCGGUGAGGAGGAGUUGGUUGCGCGGAAGCGUCAAAUUCCGAAAGGAAAGGAUUCAACAUUCGUGACGAGUCCUCAAUAACUUCGGAGCUAAUCGCCGCCGAUGGCCAGGCCGCUGCUUCCGAUAGAUUUGGCUGUACCGUCGAGUUCAAAAUCGGUCUCAAAUCGCCUUCUAAGGAAGUGGAUACUAACUCAGGAAGCAAAUUUACUGUUGAGGUGGUUACAGUCUGCAAACCAGGAAAGUUUCCACCAUUCAAAGGGUUCCCGGUACUGUAUCGAGUAGCACUCGCUACCGGUUCGGAAAAUCGAGAAGUGUUCGGUGGUGCUGGUAACCAAGCACUGCCAUAAGGAGUUUCUUGCGACGUGGUAUUUUGAACGGCACGGAAUGGGAGUUGAAAUCCAUCCGCGGAAAAAUUUACUCUUGAAGCGCGUUCCAUUUCGGCCUGCAAAUUGUUCGGAGCUGGCAAACGACUGUCCAUCGAGUGAUUUUGGAUGAUCUGAUCAGCCCAGGCCAGACGAUGCUCGCGAUACUGGCCGGCUUCAAUCCGAUUUCCAAGGAUUUCUUGCCGUGAAAAUUCGGAUUCUCCCCUCGGAGGUGUCACCAAAGUUCUUUGGGAGUUAGAGGUCGAAUUCUGGACCAUACGGUCGUCCAUGUUGGUCUGUAAAUAUCAAAAUGCAAAGCAAAUUCAGUGGUAUGUAAAUAUAAUAAUAAUAGUCACUUUAGAAAAAAAAAA